GGGGCUUCCGACCCCCGCCCUCUCUCCCCUCCUAGCGGCGCCUCUCUCGCGAUAGCCUGGGAGCCGGCACAGUGCCCGCCGCAAGACGCCCGUUCCCCCCGCCCUGCGUCUGCCUCCUCCUGACAUUGUCCCUCCUUCCCCUCCUCUUCCUCCAGGGCCCUGUCUUGGGCGCCGCCGCCCGCCUUGCUCAAGCACCCUGCUGCCUCUCACACAGCCCCUGCGCUGAUGAGCACGUCCUAAGCAGAUGCCACCUUCGGAGGAAACUUCCCAGGAACUCUUAGAGAGGGACACUGUCGUGUCCUUUAGCCCCAUCCUCAUGUUUGGCCUGGUAUUUACAGCGUCUCUCAUCUAAGACUCUCAGCGCAAAAUAAGUUGAAUAAACAAACAUGAAGAAGUUAAAACUUAAGGAACUAGAAAGCCGUCUUCAGCAAGUUGAUGAUUUUGAGAAUCCAAAAUUACUUCUUGAACAGUAUCCAACAAGACCACACAUUGCAGCAUGUAUGCUUUAUACAAUUCACAACACUUUUGAUGAUAUUGAAAACAAGGUGGUUGCAGAUCUAGGAUGUGGUUGUGGUGUACUCAGCAUCGGGAGUGUAAUGUUAGGAGCAGGGUUGUGUGUGGGGUUUGACGUAGAUGCAGAUGCCCUGGAAAUAUUUAGUAGAAAUGCAGAAGAGUUUGAGCUCACAAAUAUUGACAUGAUUCAGUGCGAUGUAUGUUCUUUAGCUGCCAGAACGUCAAAAACUUUUGACACAGUAAUCAUGAAUCCUCCUUUUGGUACUAAGCAUAAUAAAGGAAUGGAUAUGACUUUUCUGAAGGUAGCUUUGCAAAUGGCACAAACAGCUGUAUAUUCCCUACACAAAACUUCAACCCGAAAACAUAUUCAAAAGAAAGCAGAUGAAUGGAAAGUGAAGAUGGAAGUUAUAGCAGAACUUAGAUAUGAUUUACCAGCAUCAUACAAGUUUCAUAAGAAGUCUUCUAGGUGGGCAAACUACGGCCCGCAGGACCAUUCUACCCAGCCCCUGAGCUCCUGACCAGGGAGGCUAGCCCGCAGCGCUCUGGCUUACUGCUCCUGUCGGGCAGCGCAGCUGGCUCCAGCAUGGUGGAUAUUGAAGUGGAUUUAAUAAGGUUUUCCUUUGAAAAACUUCCAAACUGAGGACUGUCUUAAAACCUAUUUAAAAUGGAUUAAUAAAAACUCAGUGCUUUUUAAAACAGUA